GACGAACGCUGGCGGCGUGCCUAAUACAUGCAAGUCGAACGCAGUGGGGACGGGUGAGUAACACGUGGGUAACCUCCCCUCAGAGGGGAUAACACUUGGAUACAGGUGCUAAACCGAUACUGAUGGAUGGACACGCGGUGCAUUAGCGUGUUGGUGAGGUAAAGGCCUACCAAGGCCACGAUGCAUAGCCAGUCUGAGAGGUUGAACGGCCACACUGGGACUGAGACACGGCCCAGACUCCUACGGGAGGCAGCAGUGGGGAAUCUUCGGAAAUGGACGAAAGUCUGACCGAGCAACGCCGCGUGAGUGAAGAAGGUUUUCGGAUCGUAAAACUCUGUUGUUAGAGAAGCGGUAUCUAACCAAAAAGCCACGGCUAACUACGUGCCAGCAGCCGCGGUAAUUC
rnacentral:rRNA from 1 species